GCCAGGAUGUUGAAAUGGUAGACAAGCACGGUUCAGAACCGUGUAUCGCAAGAUGUGGGGGUUCGAGUCCCCCUCCUGGCA
rnacentral:tRNA from 3 species